AACGUCAUUAAACCACACAUAAGUUCACGAAGCGAGUAGAAAAGGCGUGCUAUAAAUUCGAAUAUAAUUUUCAAAGGCUUCACCCAUUUGACUUUAACUUUCAGAUACUCAUUGUUAUCGGUUACUCGACGUCAUCAAGGAGUUAGGCACUUCAUACUGCCAUAAAAUUGACACGCAAAUGCGAUUCCGAACUAUACCAUCUUUAUCGACUGUAAUGGGAUUUUAAUGUAUAUUUUGUUACAUAAUAAAUCUGAUUCCUCCAGACUUAUCAAUGUUUAGGGACUAAGUGCUAGUGCUAGUGCUAGCUAGUGAGCUUCCAGCGUUUUUCUCAAAAUUUGUGCUCAGCUAGAAUCAGUUUGUCAAUAUCGUGAAAUGUCAUAUCAUCGGUUGAAAUUUUGCAAAUAUUGGUUCAAAUUAAAGGUCAUAUCCCAUAAGGAUCCCAUUGUUUAUUUUUGGUUUUCUUAUUAAUACUAUUUCCGCCUCCAGAAUUAUGGGAUGAUACACUAAGGAAAAAUAAAUAUUGGAAUGCGAAAAAAAAAAAACAAUUUGUAUUGAUAAAACCUUGUUUUAAU